rnacentral:snRNA from 1 species
AGAAAUGCAAAAUGUCUGGCAUAGACAUCUGCCACCACGUCGGCCUCGGGGUUAUCUUGGCAGCUCUGCUGGGGAACGGCAGGUGUCUGCAUCUUUCUUCAAAACUCCAAGUUGGUCUUUCCAUAUCUGCAGUUUCUAUGAAGAUGUCAAUCUUCCCACAGAGAGGAGGCUGUUUUUAAAUUAAGGUUAUAGAAAGAGGAGGGGAGCUUUAUAGAGUUUCUAAAACCAGAGUUCAAAGCCCGUAAAAAGUAUGUUGAUUUUCCCCUAUUUCUGGAAAAUUAACUAUAGAUGGUAGGUUGUUUU